AUGGAUGUAGCUCAGCAGUAGAGCGCUUGCCUGGCAUGCAUGAAGCUGUGAGUUCAAUCCCCAGCACCAUC
rnacentral:tRNA from 1 species